GUGAGGAAUAUUGGACAAUGGGCGCAAGCCUGAUCCAGCCAUGCCGCGUGCAGGAAGACGCAUCUAUGGUGUGUAAACUGCUUUUGUACGGGAAGAAACACUCCCUCGUGAGGGAGCUUGACGGUACCGUAAGAAUAAGGAUCGGCUAACUCCGUGCCAGCAGCCGCGGUAAUACGGAGGAUCCAAGCGUUAUCCGGAAUCAUUGGGUUUAAAGGGUCCGUAGGCGGUUUAAUAAGUAAGUGGUGAAAGCCCAUCGCUCAACGAUGGAACGGCCAUUGAUACUGUUAGACUUGAAUUACAAGGAAGUAACUAGAAUAUGUAGUGUAGCGGUGAAAUGCUUAGAUAUUACAUGGAAUACCAAUUGCGAAGGCAGGUUACUACUUGUGGAUUGACGCUGAUGGACGAAAGCGUGGGGAGCGAACAGGAUUAGAUACCCUAGUAGUCC
rnacentral:rRNA from 1 species